rnacentral:rRNA from 1 species
GAGUGCCCCAAGCGUUAUCCGGAAUUACUGGGCGUAAAGGGUGUGUAGGUGGUUUGGUUAGUCUAGCGUUAAAACUCCCGGCUUAACCGGGAAGGUGCGCUGGAAACGGCCAAACUUUGAGAGGGUGAGAGGCAUAUGGAACUCAUGGUGUAGGGGUGAAAUCCGUUGAUAUCAUGGGGAACGCCAAAGGUGAAGACAGUAUGCUAGCACCUAUCUGACACUGAAACACGAAAGCGUGGGGAUCGAAUGGGAUUAGGUACCCCAGUAGUCCACGCCCUAAACGAUGAUCACUGGCUUUUCGGAGUAUCGACCCUCUGAGAGGCGAAGCUAACGCGUUAAGUGAUCCGCCUGGGAAGUACGAUCGCAAGRKKA